ACAUAUUCUUUUACGGGGUGGCAACAGUGGGAAAAUUGGACAUGGCACCGAUCCAAGCGAUCCGCCUGAGGAGAGACUUCGGAUCGUAAGCUCUUUAGAUUGGAAGAACGGUGAUAGAGGAAUGCUAUCACUUGACGUACGACAGAAUAGCACCAGCAAACUCUGUGCAGCAGCGCGUAAUACAGAGGGUGCGAGGCGUAAUCGGACUACUGGGCGUAAAGGCGCGUAGGCGGUGAUAUGAGUGUGAUGUGAAAGCCCCGGGCCUUAACCUGGGAAGUGCAUCGCAAACGAUAUGACUGGAGUAUAUGAGGAGGGUGGCGGAAUUUCCGGUGUAGCGGUGAAAUGCGUAGAGAUCGGAAGGAACGUCAAUGGCGAAGGCAGCCACCUGGCAUAAUACUGACGCUGAGGCGCGAAAGCGUGGGGAGCGAACAGGAUUAGAUACCUGGUAGUGCACGCUGUAAACGAUGAGGACUAAAUGUUGCUAGGGGAACCUAGCAGUAUUGAAGCUAACGCGAUAAGUCUUCCGCCUGGGAAGUACGGCCGCAAGGUUGAAACUCAAAGGAAUUGACGGGGGCCCGCACAAGCGGUGGAGCAUGUGGUUUAAUUCGAUGCAACGCGAAGAACCUUACCUACCCUUGACAUCCUGCGAAUCCCGAUGAGAGUUGGGAGUGCCGAAAGGAACGCAGAGACAGGUGCUGCAUGGCUGUCGUCAGCUCGUGUUGUGAGAUGUUGGGUUAAGUCCCGUAACGAGCGCAACCCUUGUCCUUAGUUGCCAGCAUUAAGUUGGGGACUCUAAGGAGACUGCCGGUGAGGAACCGGAGGAAGGCGGGGACGACGUCAAGUCAUCAUGGCCUUUAUGGGUAGGGCUACACACGUGUUACAAUGGGGCGUACAGAGGGUCGCCAACCCGCGAGGGGGAGCCAAUCUCUUAAAGCGUCUCGUAGUCCGGAUUGGAGUCUGCAACUCGACUCCAUGAAGUUGGAAUCGCUAGUAAUCGCGAAUCAGCAACGUCGCGGUGAAUACGUUCCCGGGCCUUGUACACACCGCCCGUCACGUCAUGGGAGUGGAUGGUACCAGAAGUGGGUAGUUUAACCGUAAGGGAAACGCCUACCACGGUAUGAUUCAUGACUGGGACGAAGUGGUAACAAGG
rnacentral:rRNA from 1 species